CCAUCCACCCUCUGGAUAAAGAAUCUUUUUCUAAUACCUAAUUCAAACCUCCCUUGAUAUAACUUCAUACUUUUCCCUUGUGUUCUGUCUCUGGGCACCGGAGAGAAGAGAUUGGCACUUGCCCCUUGGCCUUCCCUUGCAAUGAAGAUGUGGACUGCUAUAGUCUGCAAAAGACCACAACCUCCCUCAAUGGUUUUCUUGAAUGUUCAUAAAGGAUAGCUGAUUUUUGAGAAGGGACAGCCAUCUGCAUUCAUUUAGAUUCCAGCUCAGCCUCCCAGAAGGUGGCAGGUUGUCUGGGUUAGCAGCAAGUGUCCUCAUGGAAGUCGGGAUGGCUGGAGUGGGAAGAUGGCACACCUUGCUCCUAGAAUUUGUGACAGAGCUCUUCAGGUGCCAGAUUUGCUCUUGAGAUGUAUUUUUUUGGGGUAGUUCAGCUCUUCUAUCAGUUUGAACCUGACAUUGCACCUUUGUACUGACAUAGUCAGCUCAAAUCCAAGAAAUUCCUAGCCUCUUCAAGAAGAGGAAAAGAUAAAUCUUGAGCUAAUUUUUCCUUAAAUUCACUCUCUUUAAAUAGUCCCUCUUUACAUACGUAAUUUUGGUUGCAUAACACACAGUACUUGGCAUCAUGUUUUAUUUAAAAGAAGACUUCAUAGUGAAUCCACCCACAGCUGCCAAAUAUCUCCUAAUAACUAACAAAAAAUAAAGAAGGAACUGAAGGAAUUAAGAAACAAUGUGCUAUAUUAGUUACUGCACAUAUAUCUCUCAAAGUUUAGCUGGAUAAUUUAGUCAGAAAUGGACAGACAUUAUUGUGUGGCAUUAGGAGCAAAAAGAAGGAAAGAAUUCCAUCAUUUACAUUGAAUUGAUGAAUGAAGUAUUAUUAACUGUGCAUAAAUUGCAUUAAACUGGACAGGUAAAUUAACAAAACUUGGCAAAAAUAAUUCAAUUCAUUGUCAAAUUGUACAAUUAAAACAAGCUGAUGCUGUUCAAACUGGUACAUUUCACUUAAAAAUGCAUAUAAAUAAUCCUAGAUUUCCAGCAAAUAGAAGAUACCGCUUGUUCCAACCAAAUCUCAGUCCCAUUCUGUUCCAUGAAACACAAGUGAAUGGUUUUGUAGUAAAACAAGUAUUGUUGUUAUUCACUUUUCAUUGUCUCUGAUCACAUCUAUUUAUUUCCUAUUAUGUAAAAAAGCCUCUUAAGAAAAUUGCUUAGAAUCAUAAAAUGCUAAGGGUUGGAAGGGACCCUAAAUAUCAUCUAGUCCCAGCCUCACCUGCCAUGGGCAGGGACAGCUUUUACUAGACUAGGUUGCCCAAAGUCUUUUCCAGCCUGGUCUUGAACACUUGCCAGGGCUGGGGCAUCCACAACUUUCCUGGGCAACCGGUUCUAGUAUCUUACCACCCUCACUAUAAAGAAUUUCUUCCUAAUACCUUUUUUCCCUAGUUUUGUUUGCAAAAAACAUUAUUAUUGUUCUGUCACUACAGUUCCUGAUGAAGAGUCCCUCGACAGUUUCCCUGUAGGCCCCCUUGAGAUACUGGAAGGUUGCUGUGAGGUCUCACACAGCCUUCUCUUCUACAGGAUGAACAGUCCCAACUCUCAGUCCACCUUUUCAGGGAACUUGCUCCAGUCCUCUUAACAACUUCAUGGUCCUCCUCUGGGCUUGCUCCAUGGACUGUUCCAUGUCCUUAUGCUGGGGACACCAGAACUGAACACAAUACUCCAGCUGGGGUGUCACAAGAGCAAAGUAGAAGGGGAGAAUCACCUCCAUCAACCUGCUGACCAGACUCCUUAUGAUGCAAUCCAGGAUUCCACCGGAGAAUCUUUCUGGGUUGCCAGCGCACAUUGGUUUUUCAUCAACCAUCACCCCCAAAUCUUUCCUCACAGAGCUGCUCUCAAUUACUUUUCUGCCCAGCCUGGAGGUUGCCUGGGAUUGCUCUGACCCAGGUGCAGGACCUUGCCCUUUGCUUUGUUGAACUCAAUGGGUUUUGCAUCCGCCCAUCUCUCAGGGACGCCACAUUCUCCUGCAUUCUUGCAUCUUCUCCUAAGCCAGGACCCAACCUUGCCCACACGACCCAGCCCACCGGCGGCGGAAUUAUCGCGCAGAUAAGCCGUGUGCCAAAUGUUCUGCGUCAACAGUGGGAUAUCGUGCUGUGUAAUUCCCAUUCAGAAAGGUGCCUUGGAACGGAAGUUAUUAAGGAGCCACAAGUGGAAUACUUGUGCUGAGUGAGUGUAGCUGGGGCGGGUCCAGCCACUGAAACUGAAGAAACUCAAGACCAGGAGUCAGACACCAAGGACAUGCCAGCCCACGGCUCCAGAUGGAAACGCACCAAGGAAAACUGAGAAAUCAGGGCUACCUCAAACCAAAGAGCAAAUCAAGAGCAAGGUCAGGAAAUCAAAGAGCUUGCACUGAAAGUGGUGGAUAAAUUUGAGCUAGGACUUAAACAAGACAAUGCAGUUUAGCUGAGAGGCAGGAACCUAGAAGAAACAAAGAGGUAUUUGUAAGGCAGUGAAAUAAGUUGUGGGACUGUACCUGAGUCAGAAACAUACAGCAUCCCAUAGACAGUCAGGAAUCUCAGCCAGUCUCUACCAAUCUCCCAGGAGGCUAUUGAGCCAGCUCCUGUCUGCAGAGCUUGAUCAUUUACUCAGGGCCUAAGAGAGGAGGAUAAGUGUGUAACCUGACACAAAUGAUCAUUCAGUGCAGAUAUGUCAAUUUAAAACCAGGAAUGAUUCAUUAAAACCAGGAAUAAUUCAUAUAAUCAGCAAUAGGGACCACCAGAUCUCCCAGGUUUCUUCUUUUCUCGUUUAUGUAACUGUGGAUUGUGUCUCAGGGCAGGAAUGAGGUUGGGGUAUGUGACUGACAGUACCAUCUCUCAAGCCUCCUUUGGCUCUGUGGAUGUGCUACAGCCCUUCGUGCUCCGCAGGCACUCCUGCCAGAUGUGCUCACAGAUCAGCACAAGCUCUGUGCUCAGGGCUGCAAAGCAGAACAGUUUCUGUAGUGGCGAUGACAAAGAUAUGGUCCUUGCUGUGAAGGAGAUGGGCACCAGUUGUUUGUGUUUUGUCUCAGUGUGAGACAAAAGACGUGGAUUACAGUCAUUCCUGAAGUGUGGCCACAUCAGAAGUAAGAAUGUAGUAUUAAAUCUGUAGAUUAAAAGUAGGUAUAGGCUUCAACAUCUUGCUGAAUUAAUGGCUCUGUAGUUGCCAGGGGACAUUAAAAGGUUAGUCUGUUAGUUUAACUACAGCAUACAAUAAGUCAGGCACUCACAGUAGAGGAAAGAUGCAGCAAUAUCUAUACAAAUGUGCUUUACAGGGAUAUUGCUGGAUAAAUGCUAUCUGCAGAAUACAACUCUUUCAGUUUUAAAAUUAAAAAAAAAUCCACAUAACUAUUUUUAGUGGCAUAAAAUUCUAGUUGUAGACCACAACAAAGAAUAAAUAUGCUGUGUAUUUUCCAUGUCAGAUCAAGACCCUUUGCAGUUCUCACUAACCAAACUGUAAAAAAAAAAA